GAUUCUGAUGAAAAUGCCCAUAAAGGCAUGGUAAAAUCAAAGGUGAGAGAGUCUGUGGUUUGUGUCUCAUUUGUUACAAGAAGAAGAAGCAAUGCAAUCCGUGCGUCGAAAGAGCUUUCGGAGACGGGAAAAGG